rnacentral:lncRNA from 1 species
CUCAUGAAGUCAUCAAGGAUAAGGUGGAGUUGGAACUGGACCCAUUGAGGAUGGUGACCAAUGUUGCCAACCAGUUCAUUUGAAAAUUUGCCAUCUGAAAGAGUAGCUAUGUAAGCGAAAGGUAAAAGCCUUUUUACUUCAAUGAAAAGCAAUAUAAGG